rnacentral:rRNA from 1 species
CCUACGGGAGGCAGCAGUGAGGAAUAUUGGUCAAUGGACGAGAGUCUGAACCAGCCAAGUAGCGUGAAGGAUGACUGCCCUAUGGGUUGUAAACUUCUUUUAUAUGGGAAUAAAAUGAUGCACGUGUGCCUUUUUGUAUGUACUUUAUGAAUAAGGAUCGGCUAACUCCGUGCCAGCAGCCGCGGUAAUACGGAGGAUCCGAGCGUUAUCCGGAUUUAUUGGGUUUAAAGGGAGCGUAGGUGGGUUGUUAAGUCAGUUGUGAAAGUUUGCGGCUCAACCGUAAAAUUGCAGUUGAUACUGGCAGUCUUGAGUACAGUUGAGGUAGGCGGAAUUCGUGGUGUAGCGGUGAAAUGCUUAGAUAUCACGAAGAACUCCGAUUGCGAAGGCAGCUUACUGGACUGCGACUGACAUUGAGGCUCGAAAGUGUGGGUAUCAAACAGGAUUAGAUACCCUUGUAGUC